rnacentral:rRNA from 1 species
GCAACUCGAGUGCAUGAAGCUGGAAUCGCUAGUAAUCGCGGAUCGGAAUGCCGCGGUGAAUACGUUCCCGGGUCUUGUACACACCGCCCGUCACACCAUGGGAGUCGGGAAUGCCCGAAGCCGGUGGCCCAAUCGAAAGAAGGGAGCCGUCGAAGGCAGGCCGGAUGACUGGGGUGAAGUCGUAACAAGGUAUC